UGUCAAUCAAGAAGCACAGGAGCAUGUUGCAGGCUGCCUGGGACACCGUCAGUGCUCUCCACAGAACAGAAAUCUCCAGCUAAACAUUUGACUAACGACUAAAGAAAACCGUUUGGAUUCAGAUUUCAAUUCAAACUCCAGGCUUUUGAAGCUUGGAACAACUAAAAACAUCAGAAUGUCAUACGAACGGAUUCUGUCCAUUGAAAAUUUAAGCGAUGUCCCGAACCCAUGGAAAGGUUGUUCUAUGAACCGUUGCUUGGUGCUGGCGGUGGUUGUACUGCUGGUGACCUCAGGCGUAAAUGAAGUCCACGACGGUCUGGAUUAUAUUGUUGAGGAAACGGGCGUCGUGUCUUUCUUUGGAAGCCUGCAGACCGUUUCAAUACCUCAGUUUUCCGUAUGGGACAGCUUCAUGAGCUGGUGGGGAUCUGAGGAAGUUGGAGCAAUAAGAAGAAGAAAAAAGCCAGUAACCAACAAAGCGAUCAUGAAAACGAAAACUAAAGAGUGACAGGAAAUGCACAUGAAAGGAUUUAACAGAUAAUUACUGAAUAAAUAACUCAAAAAUGA